rnacentral:rRNA from 1 species
UUUGAGGCUUUCCAAGGUGAGUAUGAAAGAUCAAUGGCUGCAUGUUGUAGAGUAUUGGAUGGAAAUAACAGAUUUGUUGUUGCUAUUGCGAGGUUGCAUGGAGAUUUACAGUUUGAGGAGGAGCGCAUAGUGAUAGGUGAUCCUUUGACCAAAACGGUUUCAUGUAGUUGUGGGAUGUUCAAUAGGACAGGAAUCUUGUGUGCACAUGGUCUAAAAGUGCUUGAUUUGAUGAACAUAAAGACAUUGCCGGCACAUUAUGUCUUGAAGAGGUGGACUAGAGAAGCUCGCAAUGAAAGUAUACAAGAUAGACAAGGAAGGAAUGUGGUAGAAAAUCCAAAAAUGGAAGCUAAACUUCGAUACAAGGAUUUGUCUCAUAAGUUUCACAAAAUGGCACAAAAAGCAGCCAACUCUCCACAAUGUUGUAUUCUAUUGGAUAAUGCACUUGAUUCCGUCGCUCCGCAUAUACGUGAUUUACUCAAUGCAUCCACUAGUGCCAUGAAUGAACUAUGUAAAGACAAAGAGAAUGUUGACCCAAAUGUGCAACAAGUAGAUGAGUUGCUUAGAUCUGCACGGCUGAAGAAAAAAGAGGUUCAGUCAAAGAACUUAAGGAGAAAGAAAAAUUGGCUUGAUAAGUUACUCAAGGGGAAGCACAGAGUAACUAAAGGACCAACAAAACAGGGAGAAAAG